GCUUCUGUGAAUGACAACCUGGUCUUGUUGUUUGUGAGACUUUCAUCCUGAUGUGUCCAAGCCCAUCAGAUGUUCAUCAAGCGUUGUUGUUUCUGGAUGCCAUUCAACAUUUGUUUGAGGUCCAGCUGCCUCAUUAAUAUCUGCUGUAUCUUGAAUUAUGGGGACUCGUCUGCCUCCCAGGAGGUGUUGUUGGAUUUUUCUGAGGAGCCACAUGAAGACUGAUGGGGAAGACAUGGUUCCUCUUUGGUCCUCGUCAGUUGGAAGACCAGCGGCGGAUCUUUGAACGCAGUGACAGCUCCAAACACCAAAUAACACUCUCAAUUUGCAGCCGUUGGCAUGGCUGGUUAAACAGCACAGCUAGAGGAGAGUGAUGAGCAUGUGAAGAGACACUUGAAGGAGCCGGGAGAGAAGAGACGUGGUGAAAAGAUGAUUAGGAUAAAGUGAAAAAUAUAACGGAGGCUUCUAGUUCAACUGAUUUAAUUCACAAUUGAAAUUCUCCAAAUUAGAAUGAGCAGAACAUGCAUUUAUAUUCCAUUCGAUCAAGAUCCUCUUCGCCCCUUUGGAAUUUAAAACCUAUUCUUAUGAAAUAAUGGGGCAGAAAUGGAAAGUCCUAGAAUGAUUGUGAGAUCUUCGUAUCAAAUGAAAAUGGAGGUGCGUUUAAAAAGAAAAACAAGCAAUUUCAGUCUUGAAGUGUGAACCAUGAGUCUCCAGUUGAAUGAAAACAUAUAACACAAGAUCAGUCUGGAGGGACCAGGGGCUUAAUUGAAUAAAAAAAAAAUGUCAGUAAAACGUCCUUGAGGGCAGCUGUGACUGCCGGCACAUAGAGGGCUAUUUCAGAGCAGAAAGAUGAAUAGAAACACACUCUCACAUAGAGAUAUAAAUAAGAAGAUAUGGAGAUUUGUGUGAAAAUGACUAUGUAAGCAGAGCAGAUACACAUCGCCCCCUGCAGUUCACAAGUAACAUUAGCGCAAGUAUCACAAUCAACAAUGGACAGAGAUAUACACAACACAGCUGGUCUGUUGAAGCGCAGUGUCCUUUAUCCAAGCAAUCUGGUGAAGUCUCUCUGAAACCUGUGAAAAUUUGCAGUUAUUUAUCAUCUCAGUGAUCAGGCAGAUGUCCUUGUCCAGUGGAACUUCUACAAGCUUAAACAGCUGUUCUUUUUGAGGAAAUUACUGUAAUGGCAGAGCAAGUGUGAUGAGAAUCUUGAUGAUCAAGUUAGAUAAGGCGACUUCCUUAUGUAUUCGACUUGAAUGUGGGAAAUGUCAUAAUAAUGAAUGCCUGACUCUGAGCUUCCCAGGUGCACAUGAAGAUCAGUUGACCUGUGCUGAAGACCUCUCCAGACCCUGUAAAACUGUCUCUCAGCCGUUUGUCCUGCGUUGCUGGAAUGGCACACUAUGGGCAGCUCGCACAGACUCACAACAAUGAUGUGGAGUGGCGCAGUACUGGGGUGGUGGUGUUACUGUUAAGCUGUUGUCACUCUGCUGAAGGAGGAAGUUGUGUGUCAGGGCAGAGAAUGAGUCUGGACCAUAUGGCACUUUAAUGGUCUGCGUGAGGGUCUUGUGUCCUGGAUAUGUCACCUGUAGACAAAGCAACAACCUGUAGUCAAAACUAUAAUGUCAUUUCAUUUAUUCCGAACCUCCUCCUGUCCAAAUUAACUCAGCUCUUUGUGCCCACCUCCACCUGUCAGUGGAUCACCAACUUCAGCUACCAAAUCAGACAUUAGAAGACUACAAUGGACAAUCCGGACUGCUGAGAGGAUUAUUGGUACUCCCCUGAGGAAGAGGGCAUGUCAAAUCAUCACAGACUCCGGCCACAACGUAUUUGAACUGUUGCCUUCCGGUCGGCGAGUACACUGGGCACUAGAACGUCUAGGCACAGGAACAGCUUCUUCCCAUAGGCUAUCUCCCUUCUGAACAGUUAAAUGCCUCCCAAGGCCAGUGUGGGAGUAUUGCACUAAGGCUAUUGUUUAAUGCAAUGUCUUAAUUCAUUUUUAUGUAUUAGAACUGUAAAAAUAUGUUCAUAUCUGUAAAUAUGCCUAUUCUGUGUCUUUAAACUUCCCACUUUAUAUUAGGUGGCCUUAACUACCAUACACUUACAUCAAAAAAAUCUAUUUAUUAUAUUCAUAUUGCAAAACACUUUUGCAGCUACGGGUAAGGUUAGCGACAGGUUUGGUGGUACGGGUAGGUUUAAGGGUGGGUUAAGACAGUGGUACCCAAACACAUUCCUAGAGCCUCCCCAACACCGCACAUGUUGCAUGUCUCCUUUAUCUGACACACCCAUUUACUCUCUCGACUAAUGAGCUGAUGAUCUGAAUCAGGUGUGUUUGAUUAAGGAGACAUGGAAAACAUGCAGUGUUGGGGAGGCUCCAGGAAUGUGUUCGGGAGCUCCUGGGUUAAGGUGUAAGAGGUCAACAGUGUAAAUAUAAAUGUAAUUACAGGAAUGAAUUACUGAAAUUCGUAUGUAUUCUAAUAUAUUCGUAUAUAUUCUAAUAUAUUCGUAUACUAAUUUAUUCGUAGCGUUUUAAUGUAUUCGUAUCGUUUUAAUGUAUUCGUAUGUAUUCUAAUAUAUUCGUAUAUAUUCUAAUAUAUUCGUAUAUAUUCGAAUUUAUUCGUAGCG